GACGAACGCUGGCGGCGUGCUUAACACAUGCAAGUCGAACGGUAACGCCCUGCUUUUUUGUGCUGCUCUAGUGGCGAACGGGUGAGUAACACGUGAGUAACCUACCCUCGACUUUAGGAUAACUUCAGGAAACUGGGGCUACUACUAGCUCAGAACUCCUGCUGCAUGGUGAGGGUUGGAAAGUUUCGGCGGUUGGGGAUGGACUCGCGGCUUAUCAGCUUGAUGGUGGGGUAGUGGUUUACCAAGGCUUUGACGGGUAGCCGGCCUGUGAGGGUGAACGGGCACAUUAGGACUGAGAUACGGCGCAGACUCCUACGGGAGGCAGCGGUGGGGAAUAUUGUACAAUGGGCGGAAGCCUAAUGCAGCAACGCCGCGUUCGGGAUGAAGGCCUUGGGGUUGUGAAGCGAGUUCGCCUGUGACGAAGCGUGAGUGACGGUAAUGGGAAAAGAAGCACCGGCUAACUACGUG
rnacentral:rRNA from 1 species